GGAGACCUUAAUCCAAGGGGCAAUGAGAAGAGGAGGCCAGCCAUCCUAGCAGACACAGGAGUGAAUAGAUGUAGAGGGACAGGCAAGGAACAUUGCAACAGGGGCUUUUUAAGCAUACUCUCAGACUCAUCAUCAAUCAUGAAACUGCCACCAGUUCCUGAGACAUCACUCAGGGAUUACAGUAUUUCAACUCCUGAUUUGCUAUGGUCAGAGCCUAGACCAGAACAACACCAGACUACAUAACUGGAGUAAAAUCUCUAUUACUAUCAGCUGUUGAUGACGCAACAAUUUGCACGGAAGAAAUA